UACGGGGGGGGCAAGCGUUGUCCGGAUUCAUUGGGCGUAAAGAGCGUGUAGGCGGCCAGGUAGGUCGGUUGUGAAAACUGGAGGCUCAACCUUCAGAGGUCGACCGAAACCAUCUGGCUAGAGUCCGGGAGAGGAGAGUGGAAUUCCUGGUGUAGCGGUGAAAUGCGCAGAUAUCAGGAAGAACACCAAUGGCGAAAGCAGCUCUCUGGGACGGUACUGACGCUGAGACGCGAAAGCGUGGGGAGCGAACAGG
rnacentral:rRNA from 1 species